ensembl:snRNA U1 U1 spliceosomal RNA
AUACUUACCUGCAGGGGAAAUACUAUGAUCAGGAAGGUGGUUUUCCCAAGGCGCGGCCCAUCCAUUGCACUUGGGAUGUGCUGACCCCUGCAAUUUCCCCAAAUGCGGGAAACUAGACUAUAUAUAAUUUGUGGUAGUUGGGGACUGCAUUCCCGCUCUCCCCCA